GAACCUAUAUAAGUAGGUAAUUUAAAUAGAAUAUCAGAAGGUACAGAAUUGUGAUCUCAUGCAACUAGUACUCAUUUUCCUGUUAAUUUUAUUUUCCUUAGUCUUUAGUCUUUAGAAAAUAAAAUAAAANCNAAAUAANUAAAGUGCUUUUUGCGGACAUUGGGGGGUCGUGAAGACUCUAUCAGUGAGUAUUUGUUCUCGGAAGGACUAGAUAUGAAUAUUGAAUAAUCAGACAUAGUACGAUAAGGUUGUAUGUCUAAAGGGAAACAGCCCAGAACAAGAGUUAAUAAGGUUCCAAAAUUAUUGUUAAGUGAAAUUAAGGCAGUAUUUAUCCAAAUCGGCCAGGGAAUAGGCUUAGAAGCGGCCAUUUUCUGAAGACCUCGUAACAGAGCACUGGUCUUGUUUUAAUGAUAAUAGGGAUAAAAGCACCGAAAAUUUAACGGAUCUAAACAAUAUACCGAGACCUUGUCCAAAUAUAUUAAUGUAUCUAAAUUUUACAUUGUAUAUUAGGGGUAGCGGAACAUUGGGGAAGUUUCUUAUUAUGCCUUUAUAAGGCAUAAAAUAAUUAACAACCCAAGCGAGAAUGCUGACAUGAGUAACGAUAAAGGGGAAUACCCUCGCCUAAAGCUUAUGGAAUUUAAUUAAAGUUACGGCCUCUAAGUUUAUUAUAUAUUUAAUGAAUAAUCUGUUAUUUAUUAAUAAUCCCAAAGGGGGUAAACGAUGAGCAAAUCUAAGAUUUAUAGAAAAUAUCAUUUUUACAUAGUGACAAAUGAUCUGGAAAACUGUAUAUCUCAUUUGCUAAAUAUGAAUAAACUAAAACAGAUGAUAUGUUUAGCAGAUGGUUACCGUACCUAAAUACUACCACAAGUAAGCAAGUAGA
rnacentral:rRNA from 1 species